GAACUGCAUUGGAAACUGCUAGACUUGAGUGUGGUAGAGGUAGAKGGAAUUCCUAGUGUAGCGGUGAAAUGCGUAGAUAUUAGGAAGAACACCAAUGGCGAAGGCACUCUACUGGGCCAUAACUGACACUGAUAGACGACAGCUAGGGGAGCAAAUGGGAUUAGAUACCCCUGGUAGUCCUAGCCGUAAACGAUGGAUACUAGAUGUUG
rnacentral:rRNA from 1 species